rnacentral:rRNA from 1 species
CCUACGGGAGGCAGCAGUGAGGAAUAUUGGUCAAUGGCCGCUAGCCUGAACCAGCCAAGUCGCGUGAAGGAAGACUGCCCUAUGGAUUGUAAACUUCUUUUAUACGGGAGUAAAGUCAAGUACGUAUACGUGUUUGCAAGUACCUUAUGAAUAAGGAUCGGCUAACUCCGUGCCAGCAGCCGCGGUAAUACGGAGGAUUCGAGCGUUAUCCGGAUUUAUUGGGUUUAAAGGGGGCGUAGGCGGGUUGUUAAGUUAGCGGUGAAAUUCGGGGGCUCAACCUCAUAAUUGCCGUUGAUACUGGUAACCUUGAGUGGAGUAGAGGUAGGCGGAAUGCGUGGUGUAGCGGUGAAAUGCUUAGAUAUCACGAAGAACUCCGAUUGCGAAGGCAGCCUACCGG